GAUGAACGCUGGCGGCGUGCUUAACACAUGCAAGUCGAGCGAGAAGACUUUGACAGAUCCUUCGGGUGAUGGAAAAGUUGGAAAGCGGCGGACGGGUGAGUAACGCGUGGGCAACCUGCCCCAUACAGGAGGAUAGCCACUGGAAACGGUGAUUAAUACUCCAUAAGACCACAGCACCACAUGGUGCAGAGGUAAAAACUCCGGUGGUAUGGGAUGGGCCCGCGUCUGAUUAGCUAGUUGGUAAGGUAACGGCUUACCAAGGCGACGAUCAGUAGCCGACCUGAGAGGGUGAUCGGCCACACUGGAACUGAGACACGGUCCAGACUCCUACGGGAGGCAGCAGUGGGGAAUAUUGCACAAUGGGCGAAAGCCUGAUGCAGCAACGCCGCGUGAACGAUGAAGGCCUUCGGGUUGUAAAGUUCUUUUCUUGGAGAAGAAUAAAUGACGGUAUCCAAGGAAUAAGCCCCGGCUAACUACGUGCCAGCAGCCGCGGUAAUACGUAGGGGGCAAGCGUUAUCCGGAAUCACUGGGCGUAAAGGGAGUGUAGGCGGUCAAGCAAGUCAGAGGUGAAAGGCAUCGGCUCANCCGGUGUAAGCCUUUGAAACUGUUUGACUUGAGUGCAGGAAAGGUAAGUGGA
rnacentral:rRNA from 1 species